AUUGAACGCUGGCGGCAUGCCUUACACAUGCAAGUCGAACGGUAACAGGUCUUCGGAUGCUGACGAGUGGCGGACGGGUGAGUAAUACAUCGGAACGUGCCUAGUAGUGGGGGAUAACUACUCGAAAGAGUGGCUAAUACCGCAUGAGAUCUACGGAUGAAAGCAGGGGAUCGCAAGACCUUGUGCUACUAGAGCGGCCGAUGGCAGAUUAGGUAGUUGGUGGGAUAAAAGCUUACCAAGCCGACGAUCUGUAGCUGGUCUGAGAGGACGAUCAGCCACACUGGGACUGAGACACGGCCCAGACUCCUACGGGAGGCAGCAGUGGGGAAUGUUGGACAAUGGGCGCAAGCCUGAUCCAGCAAUGCCGCGUGCAGGAUAAAGGCCUUCGGGUUGUAAACUGCUUUUGUACGGAACGAAAAGCCCCGGGUUAAUACCCUGGGGUCAUGACGGUACCGUAAGAAUAAGCACCGGCUAACUACGUGCCAGCCGCCGCGGUAA
rnacentral:rRNA from 1 species